UACGAAGGUGGCAAGCGUUGUUCGGAAUUACUGGGCGUAAAGCGCACGUAGGCGGCUUUGUAAGUUAGAGGUGAAAGCCCAGGGCUCAACCCUGGAAUUGCCUUUAAGACUGCAUCGCUUGAAUCAUGGAGAGGUGAGUGGAAUUCCGAGUGUAAAGGUGAAAUUCGUAGAUAUUCGGAAGAACACCAGUGGCGAAGGCGACUCACUGGACAUGUAUUGACGCUGAGGUGCGAAAGCGUGGGGAGCGAACAGG
rnacentral:rRNA from 1 species